AUAAGUAGGGGGCGAGCGUUGUCCGGAUUUAUUGGGCGUAACGGGUGCGUAGGCGGCCUUGUAAGUCAGAUGUGAAAGAUCAUGGCUUAACUGUGGAAAGCAUUUGAAACUGCAGGGCUUGAGUACAGGAGAGGAGAGAGGUAUUCCUAGUGUAGCGGUGAAAUGCGUAGAUAUUAGGAGGAAUACCAUUAGCGAAGGCGACUCUCUGGACUGAUACUGACGCUGAGGCACGAAAGCGUGGGGAGCAAACAGGAUUAGAUACCCUGGUAGUCCACGCUAUAAACGAUGAGUGCUAGGUGUCGGGGGUCAAACCUCGGUGCCGCAGUUAACACAUUAAGCACUCCGCCUGGGGAGUACGGCCGCAAGGCUGAAACUCAAAGGAAUUGACGGGG
rnacentral:rRNA from 1 species